UACGUAGGGUGCGAGCGUUGUCCGGAAUUAUUGGGCGUAAAGAGCUCGUAGGCGGUUUGUCGCGUCGGCCGUGAAAUCUCCACGCUUAACGUGGAGCGUGCGGUCGAUACGGGCAGGCUUGAGUUCGGCAGGGGAGACUGGAAUUCCUGGUGUAGCGGUGAAAUGCGCAGAUAUCAGGAGGAACACCGGUGGCGAAGGCGGGUCUCUGGGCCGAUACUGACGCUGAGGAGCGAAAGCGUGGGGAGCAAACAGG
rnacentral:rRNA from 1 species